rnacentral:piRNA from 1 species
UCAUUUGAAACGAAAGCAUUGCCUUGUUAAG